rnacentral:lncRNA from 1 species
GAAGGCAUUGACUUUCUCAGGACUUACCUCAAUCUCCCAUCUGAGAUUGUUCCCGCCACUUUGAAGAAGCAGCAGAAACCUCUUGGCCGACCUUUUGGAGGCCCACCUGGUGACCGUCCACGGUAAUCAACUUGAAUCUUCAAAUUGGUUUCAUUGUCAUGACCAUUGCGAUUGAAUACGAUUGUCCAAUGAAGCUUAUCAUGUCUUGGAUUGAAUCUAGUGAAAGAGUGUUAUGGGUACUUGUAAAGCGUUAAUAUGUGACUGUGUUUUGAUUUGAUUUUUACAGUGGCCCACCUCGUUUUGAGGGAGAGAGGAAGUUUGGUGACAGAGAGGGAUAUCGUGGAGGUCCGAGAUCAGGUGGAGAGUUUGGUGACAAGAGUGGAGCUCCUGCUGAUUACCAG